UGACACUAGAAAUAGAAUAAGGCGUAAACCCCGCAACAACAAUAUAAGUACACGUUUGGACAUAUUCGUUCAUGGCCACGUGUCAAACAGGCAAACACACUGGUUGUAACGGCAGCAGUUCCCGCUCAUUCUCAUUUCAAAUUCUAGAAUCCAUGGCGGGCAAAGAAACCUCAUCGCCCGAGAUCGAUCUUCCCCGCCGCCAAGCCCCAUCUUCUCGUCCGCAAGCGUCUUCUUGCUUUUCUCUCGCCGACUCCCUUCUCGAGAUGUAGCAGCCCGAUCGGAGUGCGCUCUCUUAGAUUUAGUCGUCCGAUGAAUGGAUCAACAAUUGAUUACCUCUCCUGUAGAAUCCUGGACGAUGAGCUCGAAAUCGGCGGUGAAGAAGCAGCGGCCGGAAAAGCCUAGGGUUUCUUUGUGGAUAAGUAGUCGAAGAAGAUCAAUGAUGAGCAAAGCGUGGAGGGUUGGCUGUUGUUUCUGUUACCUUGAUGAUGAUCAUCGCUGGGCUCGAAGCUGGAAGGUCAUGUUUCUUGAAAUCCUGGAUUUUUUGGAGUUUUGUUUCCUAGUUUUCUUGAUUUUUUUGUUCAUACACAUGAUGAUGGUUGGGCGUGUCCUGACGCUGCUUUAAGAGGUACUUGUGUCAAAUCUAUUGUGUUCAUUGAUUGUUCUUUGAGAUUUCAUUGUUUAUGUCAAAACCCUAGGUUCUUUAGCGAGGGCUAACAUCCUGGUGAUCGUCAUCACUGCUGUGCAUCAGAUAUGAGGGAUCGGAUUGGCGCACUGGUUGGGGAAAGACGUGUCAAAGGAGCUCUUGAUCAGCACCUUUCACUCGUUCUGUUUGCAGCUCUGGUGAUCACAGGGAGGAAAGUAUGCCAACUUUUCAGUUUUGCAUGGAUAAGGCAGGUGGGUCAACUCUAGAGGAAGAGUGCAAGCUAUUUUAUGUUGCAAUGACAAGAGCUCUAAGAAAAUACAUAUCUUGUACACUAUUGCGGAUGCUUACUGGCAGCCUUCUUGAUUUCAGAACUAAAUUCCACAACAUCACCUAGAGAUUCAGGUAUGCAGUAUUAGCUACAAGUUUCUGACUUUUAACCUAGAGAAACUGUAUGAUUGCACCCAAGCUAUCAUAACAGGCUUUUAACAUUCAUAAUUUGGAACUUCAAAUUUUUAUUAGUGUCAUCAGUUUGGCUAUGCUAGCAAACACUUUAUUAAUCUGGAUACACCAUUAGAGACCUUCAACUGGUUAUUAUUUAAGUGGUUUCAGGGUAAGCUGACUGAGGUAUAGCUAAUUUUGGUUCACUGCAAUUUGAACAUCUUGUAUAAUGCUUGGGACAUCACUCUUGCUUUGGAAGUUUUUUUUUUUUCUUUGUUAUUACAGUCGACAUGUUUGCUAGAAUUAAUUUAAUAGGUUUAAAGUGGAGGAGUGAAUGAUUGCAUCUCAUUUUUUUCUUCACUGGACAAAAACGCAAUCAUUUCAACAUCCAAGUUAGUUGCUCGAUGAGGUAUUAUCUUAGGUAGUGUUCAUUAAUUGUCGCUUAGAAUUUUCUUCACUUGUUUAUAAUCACUUGGAGAAAAUGGAUUUUAGUGAGAAAUGUUGUUGUAAACUCUGCUAUGCUUUGUAAUGCUUAUUAGCACCAUUUCCUUUCUCAUUUCCAUAUAAUCUGUAGGUUGUUGGCAUCUUUGCAUUUAAAAAUAGUUACUAAAAUAAAUUAGAAGAGGCAUUCAAGGGAACUUUAUUUCAUCUAGCACUUUUAUUCUCUAUGAGGGAAAAGAAAGUUAAAAUAGUUCUUUGACUGAAGUUACGUGAAUUUGCACAAUAUCAAAGUCAAUUUGUGAUUUUGUUUCAUUUAUUAGUAAAUCAUUGCAUAUUCCCAAAAAAAACAAUUACGGAGAAACAUGAUUUCAGGCUUUGAUAUGGGAGAAAUUUCAAUCAACAAAAUGCAGGUAAAACAGGCUAUUGAUUUGGUUGAGAAAACAAAAUCAACUAAAAGUUUUACACUUAUUAAUUCAUUGCUUAACAACAUGAUGCACAUGCAAAUAAUCAUUAAUAUAUGUGGGCAUUCUUCUGAUCAGAAUUGUUAAUAUUUGUUUGUCUUCAGGUAGUGUUUUAUGAACACAAAUUGGUUCAGCAAUUGGAUGAGUGGAAGCUACGGCUAAGCAGGUCUGCAUUUUAAGAAUGAUUUGAUCCAAAAAAGCGUGCUUCAUUGUCGUCCAUCGUUUCUGCUAAUUGCUAGUCUUUAUUGUCAUCCAUCGUUUCUGCUAAUUGCCCUAUCAUACCUUCUUCCCUGACCUAAAGCUUCAAGGCUGAUAUAACGAUACAAAUCUUCGUGAACAAGGACAAUUGACUAAUGUCCUAGAGGAAAAAUUUCUGUCCUAUAAUUAUUAUUAUUGGACUAACAAGUAUUUGUUCUCUUGGGCCCCUUGUUCAAGCCAAUUUUUGCGGAGAUUUUACUAUUGAAGCAGCAUUCUUCAUGGGGGAACAAAAGGAACACAAGCAAAUGAUUAUGGAUCAAUCACGGCAUAGAGAGAGAGAAUUAUGAUUAAUAUGAAUAAUCUCCACUUAAAUUCUAUCUCCUACAUAGUAAGAUGCCACUGAUAUAAUUUUCUUUGUUUAUCCUGUUAGGCCCUCCCAUGUUUGAAGUGGCUUUUUUCCCAAGAAGAGAUGUGUUUGCACUAUGCAGCCGCAUUUUCCAUGGCAGAACAGAGCCCCGGCUGCUACUU